GUCAGUGUCAAGAACUCUUGAAGACCGAUCCCUAUUGCUGUUAUUCUCCAGACAAAAUUCCAUUUUCACGAGACCCAUAGUUUUUUCCUGAAUUUCUGGCAUUUGAUUGUACUUGAAACAGGUUGUAAUCUCAAUUGGGGGGCUCCAGAUUUUUUUCCUUCUGAUUGAGUUGAUGGACGGUGGGCUCAAGACUGCAAAGGGACUGGAUUUCUUCUGCAACAGGGAGGAAAAUGGCCACCCGUGAAAGACAACUGCUGAGGGGAAAAUUGUGUUUUGUUGAUCUCCUGAUCAGAAAAGCAAUCCAUAUGGUGGUUAAAGGUUUGUCCAAGACGAGGAUUCUCAAAUAUUACAUUCUAAGCACCUGCUUGAAAUAAUGAACGUUCAAGAAAUGGACUAUGGAGAGGACAGUCUGCCUCUUAUUGAAGUAUUUCCUAAAAUUCCAGUCCAACUAAUGCACUUUUUGGACAACUUUGUAUAGAUCAAAUAAAGGAAGAACGAAAUAAGGAGGCUACUUUUCUUAUUUCAGCCUUCAAGGUAUGUGCAGGAGUUAUCGUUUCAGUGUUUUUGUUCUCUCUUUGCUUUCUUUUUUUUUUUCAAAUUUAUUUAGCAGUUUAUUCUUUGCACUACUAUUGAUGGAUUUUGGGUAAGUCAUUGGAGGCUGUUUAUGGAUUUCAAGGUGAAGAAGUGGAUAAAGAAUCUAAACUGACACCUUAUGGUGAAAAAAUUAGUCGAGGUAUGUGGUGAUGGAAAUAUCACAAUUAGCCUGGCAUUAUUGUCUUUGAGCUACUGGAAGAUGAUCAAUGUGGUUCUUUACAAACUAAAAUUGAAGGAUAUAGCAGUCCAGAUGCCCAGUCAAACCCUUUACAAGACCCUCGAAUUGGCUUUAGAUUCGGAACGCAAGUCAUGGUUUUCUUUUGAAUUGAUGUAGUUCAGAAUUUGAGUUAAAUAGGAAAAGUGAGAAAUUUGAUGAACUGCUUGAGUUGGCUGGCUACUACAAGACUUUUCUCAUGAAUUCUUAUCAAGAAGCAAGGAUAAAAACAUGGCAGUAGGAGAUUAUUCGAAUAAGCUCUGGGAAGAGAGACAAAUAAACUCUUGAACGAUAUUCGGCAUUGUAAAGAGAUUGAGAAAUGCAAACUUGAACCAUAGUAAACACUUAGUAUCCAAUUAUGCAUACAACUUGUAAUAAUUUAUAGAAGUUUUUUCUUAACUGUAUUCUUUAUUAAUAUACUUGGCCUUGACUCAACAUA